AGAGUUUGAUCCUGGCUCAGAAUGAACGCUGGCGGCGUGCUUAACACAUGCAAGUCGAACGAGAAAGUGGGCUUCGGUCCAUGAGUAGAGUGGCGCGCGGGUGAGUAACACGUGGGUAAUCUACCCCUCAAUUUGGGAUAACAUUGCGAAAGUGAUGCUAAUACCGAAUAACAUCCAUAAAGCUUUGGUUUAAUGGAUCAAAGGUGGCCAAUCCUUGGAAGCUACUGUUGGGGGAUGAGCCCGCGUACCAUUAGCUAGUUGGUAGGGUAAUGGCCUACCAAGGCGACGAUGGUUAGCUGGUCUGAGAGGAUGAUCAGCCACACUGGAACUGACACACGGUCCAGACUCCUACGGGAGGCAGCAGUGAGGAAUUUUGCGCAAUGGGGGCAACCCUGACGCAGCAACGCCGCGUGAGUGAUGAAGGCCCUUGGGUCGUAAAACUCUGUCAGCAGGAAAGAAGUUACAUGUGGUUAAUACCCAUGUGUAUUGACGGUACCUGCAAAGGAAGCACCGGCUAACUCCGUGCCAGCAGCCGCGGUAACACGGAGGGUGCAAGCGUUAUUCGGAAUUAUUGGGCGUAAAGGGCGCGUAGGCGGCCGAACAGGUCAGGUGUGAAAGCCCGGGGCUUAGCUCCGGAUCCGCGAUGGAAACUGUAAGGCUUGAAUCUUGGAGGGGGAGUUGGAAUUCCUAGUGUAGGGGUGAAAUCUGUUGAUAUUAGGAAGAACACCGGUGGCGAAGGCGAACUCCUGGCCGAAGAUUGACGCUGAGGCGCGAAAGCGUAGGUAGCAAACAGGAUUAGAUACCCUGGUAGUCC
rnacentral:rRNA from 1 species